UACGAAGGGGGCUAGCGUUGCUCGGAAUCACUGGGCGUAAAGGGUGCGUAGGCGGAUUCCUAAGUCGGUGGUGAAAUCCUGGAGCUCAACUCCAGAACUGCCUUUGAUACUGAGGAUCUUGAGUAUGGGAGAGGUGAGUGGAACUGCGAGUGUAGAGGUGAAAUUCGUAGAUAUUCGCAAGAACACCAGUGGCGAAGGCGGCUCACUGGCCCGUUACUGACGCUGAGGCACGAAAGCGUGGGGAGCAAACAGG
rnacentral:rRNA from 1 species